rnacentral:rRNA from 1 species
GGAGGGGGUUAUUCGUUACACAUGCAGUCGAGCGGUAGAGAGAAGCUUGCUUCUCUUGAGAGCGGCGGACGGGUGAGUAAUGCCUAGGAAUCUGCCUGGUAGUGGGGGAUAACGUUCGGAAACGGACGCUAAUACCGCAUACGUCCUACGGGAGAAAGCAGGGGACCUUCGGGCCUUGCGCUAUCAGAUGAGCCUAGGUCGGAUUAGCUAGUUGGUGGGGUAAUGGCUCACCAAGGCGACGAUCCGUAACUGGUCUGAGAGGAUGAUCAGUCACACUGGAACUGAGACACGGUCCAGACUCCUACGGGAGGCAGCAGUGGGGAAUAUUGGACAAUGGGCGAAAGCCUGAUCCAGCCAUGCCGCGUGUGUGAAGAAGGUCUUCGGAUUGUAAAGCACUUUAAGUUGGGAGGAAGGCCAUUAACCUAAUACGUUAGUGUUUUUGACGUUACCGACAGAAUAAGCACCGGCUAACUCUGUGCAGAAGACCCCGGGUAAA